AAAUCGUUAACUACAUCCCCAAGAAAUAUAAAACGUAUCAUGGAUGUGUGCAUGUGUCAUUAUGUAUGUACGUAUAUGUUUUGCGUUGGAAAUGUCAUGAUUGAAGUUGUUCCGAAAGUAAAGCCAGGUUUAAUUCACUCGCUAGAAAAUCGCCGACGGGAGUAUAUAAAUGUAUCUAUUGAUGUCAAUAUAAUACAAAUGCGAGAUCUUUGUUAUGAGCAGUACUUAAUCUUCUUUUAUUAAUAAGAUGAAACAUACUUCGAUUUAUUCAUAGCAAUUCGUACAUCGUAAUUAUUAAUCAUACCGUAUUGAUAUUAUUGGCUUUUGCUCUUAUGAUAUUAUAGCAUGUAAGCAUGUUGAUGAUAAUCAUUUUCAUUUACGGACAGAAAAUAACAUUGUAGUUGGUUCCGGCUGGGCAAGUGAAGAGGCUUGUAGGAUCAUCCUUCGGGUAACUAUAGGCGUCUGGACAACGUUGCUUGAAGAACCUAGAGAGUGGGG
rnacentral:lncRNA from 1 species